UCAAGCGCGAGAAGGGCGUUUGGUGGAUGCCUUGGCAGUAAGAGGCGAUGAAGGACGUGAUACUCUGCGAUAAGCUUUGGGAAGUCGAGAAUAGACGCUAUACCCAAAGAUCUCCGAAUGGGGCAACCCAACUGAUACUUUGUUAUUGUUACACUUUUGUGUAAUCAAUAAUGGGGUAAAACAGUUAUUAAUUACCUGAAUACAUAGGGUUUUUAAAGCAAACCUGGGGAACUGAAACAUCUAAGUACCCAGAGGAAAGGAAAUCAAUAGAUACUCCCGUAGUAGUGGCGAGCGAACCGGGACCAGCCGAGCGAUGAAUGUGACUAGAACCAGUUGGAAAGCUGGGCAAUAUGGGUGACAGCCCCGUAUAGGAAGCAUGAUUUGACGUAUUAAGUAGGGCGGAACACGUGAAAUUCUGUCUGAACAUGGGGGGACCACCCUCUAAGGCUAAGUACUCCUUACUGACCGAUAGCGAACCAGUACCGUGAGGGAAAGGUGAAAAGCACCCCGACGAGGGGAGUGAAACAGUUUCUGAAACCGGACGCCUACAAACAGUUGGAGCCUCUUUAUGGGGUGACAGCGUACCUUUUGUAUAAUGGGUCAACGACUUGGUCUUACUAGCAAGCUUAAGCCGAUAGGUGUAGGCGCAGCGAAAGCGAGUCUUAAUAGGGCGAAUGAGUUAGUAGGAUCAGACCCGAAACCGAGUGAUCUAGGCAUGAGCAGGUUGAAGGUAAGGUAACACUUACUGGAGGACCGAACCCACAUCUGUUGAAAAAGAUCGGGAUGACUUGUGCCUAGGGGUGAAAGGCCAAUCAAACUCGGAGAUAGCUGGUUCUCCGCGAAAUCUAUUUAGGUAGAGCGUCGCACGAAUACCUUGGGGGGUAGAGCACUGAAUGGGUAAUGGGGACUCACCGUCUUACUGAUCCUAAUCAAACUCCGAAUACCCAAGAGUAAUAUGCGGCAGACACACUGCGGAUGCUAACGUCCGUAGUGGAGAGGGAAACAACCCUGACCCUCAGCUAAGGCCCCUAAUUCAUGGCUAAGUGGGAAAGCAGGUGGGACGACCAAAACAACCAGGAAGUUGGCUUAGAAGCAGCCAUCUUUUAAAGAUAGCGUAACAGCUCACUGGUCUAAUUUAAGUUAUCCUGCGGCGAAGAUGUACCGGGGCUCAAGCCAUGAGCCGAAGCUAGGGAUGCAAUUUAUUGCAUGGUAGCGGAGCGUUCUGUGAUAUAGAACGCUGCGUCUUUAGUAUCUUAGGAUAUUGUGGACGCAAUGUUCUGACUGUGAAGCCGGCGCGUAAGCGAUCCGGUGGAGUGAUCAGAAGUGAGAAUGUUGACAUGAGUAGCGACAAACAGGGUGAGAGACCCUGUCGCCGAAAGUCCAAGGGUUCCUGCUUAAAGCUAAUCUGAGCAGGGUAAGCCGACCCCUAAGGCGAGGCCGAAAGGCGUAGUCGAUGGGAACCAGUUUAAUAUUACUGGGCCAGGAGAUGGUGACGGAUCGAAAGCGUAGUGACUCCUUAUCGGAUUGAAGUUGCUGCCGGACGGUUCCUGGAAAUAGCCCUCCAUUAGAUCGUACCCUAAACCAACACAGGUGGACUGGUAGAGAAUACCAAGGCGCUUGAGAGAACUACAUUGAAGGAACUCGGCAAAAUGCCUCCGUAAGUUCGCGAGAAGGAGGCCCCAUCAGAAGGCAACUUUUGGUGGGGGGCACAGACCAGGGGGUGGCGACUGUUUACUAAAAACACAGGGCUCUGCGAAGUCGUAAGACGACGUAUAGGGUCUGACGCCUGCCCGGUGCUGGAAGGUUAAGAGGAGGUGUGCAAGCACUGAAUUGAAGCCCCAGUAAACGGCGGCCGUAACUAUAACGGUCCUAAGGUAGCGAAAUUCCUUGUCGGGU
rnacentral:rRNA from 1 species